UGAAUACGAGGCACUAAGGUGCUGAAGUAGUGUAUGUCAUACUUCCAAGAAAAGCUUGCACUAUCGUAAGAUAAAAAUGCCUGUACCAUAACCGACACAGGUGGGUAGGUUGAGUAUACUAAGGGGCGCGAGAUAACUCUCUCUAAGGAACUCGGCAAAAUAACUCCGUAACUUCGGGAGAAGGAGUGCCUUAUUCUAUAAGGUUGCAAUAACAAGAUCCAAGCAACUGUUUAUCAAAAACACAGGUCUCCGCUAAGUCGUAAGACGAUGUAUGGGGGCUGACGCCUGCCCAGUGCCAGAAGGUUAAAGAAGUCGGUUAGCAAUUGCGAAGCUGGUAACUGAAGCCCUGGUGAACGGCGGCCGUAACCAUAACGGUCCUAAGGUAGCGAAAUUCCUUGUCGGGUAAGUUCCGACCCGCACGAAAGGCGUAAUGAUUUGGAUACUGUCUCGGAGAGGGACUCGGUGAAAUAGACUUGUCUGUGAAGAUGCGGACUACCUGCACCAGGACAGAAAGACCCUAUGAAGCUUUACUGUAACUUGAAAUUGAAAUUGGACUUUAUUCGCGCAGUAUAGGUGGGAGGCGUUGAUUAUAAUCUUGUGGGAUUAUUGGAGCCAUUAGUGAGAUACCACUCUUGUAAUGUUAGAUUUCUAACUUUGAAUCAUGAUCUGGUCAAAGAACAGUUUCGGGCGGGCAGUUUGACUGGGGCGGUCGCCUCCUAAAUGGUAACGGAGGCGUACAAAGGUUUCCUCUGAACGGGUAGAAAUCGUAUCUAGAGUGUAAAGGCAUAAGGAAGCUUGACUGUGAGACCUACAAGUCGAGCAGGGACGAAAGUCGGUCUUAGUGAUCUGACGGUACUGAGUGGAAAGGCCGUCACUCAACGGAUAAAAGUUACUCUAAGGAUAACAGGCUGAUCUCCCCCAAGAGUUCACAUCGACGGGGAGGUUUGGCACCUCGAUGUCGGCUCAUCGCAUCCUGGGGCGGUAGUACGUCCCAAGGGUUGGGCUGUUCGCCCAUGAAAGCGGUACGCGAGCUGGGUUCAGAACGUCGUGAGACAGUUCGGUCCAUAUCCGGUGUAGGCGUUAGAAUAUUGAGAGGAGCCUUCUUUAGUACGAGAGGACCGAGAAGGACAUACCUCUGGUGUACCAGUUAUCGUGCCAACGGUAAACGCUGGGUAGCUAUGUAUGGAGUGGAUAACCGCUGAAAGCAUCUAAGUGGGAAGCCCACCUCAAGAUAAGUAUUCUC
rnacentral:rRNA from 1 species